rnacentral:rRNA from 1 species
UACGUAGGGUGCGAGCGUUGUCCGGAAUUAUUGGGCGUAAAGAGCUUGUAGGCGGUUUGUCGCGUCUGCCGUGAAAUUUCGAGGCUCAACCUCGACCUGCGGUGGGUACGGGCAGACUAGAGUGUGGUAGGGGGAGACUGGAAUUCCUGGUGUAGCGGUGAAAUGCGCAGAUAUCAGGAGGAACACCGAUGGCGAAGGCAGGUCUCUGGGCCACUACUGACGCUGAGAAGCGAAAGCAUGGGGAGCGAACAGG